AUUGAACGCUGGCGGCAUGCCUUACACAUGCAAGUCGAACGGCAGCACGGGGCAACCUGGUGGCGAGUGGCGAACGGGUGAGUAAUGCAUCGGAACGUACCUUUCAGUGGGGGAUAACGUAGCGAAAGUUACGCUAAUACCGCAUAUUCUGUGAGCAGGAAAGCAGGGGAUCGCAAGACCUUGCGCUGAUUGAGCGGCCGAUGUCAGAUUAGCUAGUUGGUGAGGUAAAGGCUCACCAAGGCGACGAUCUGUAGCGGGUCUGAGAGGAUGAUCCGCCACACUGGAAGUGGUAGACGGGCCAGACUCCUACGGGGGGCAGGCGUGGGGAAUUUUGGACAAUGGGGGCAACCCUGAUCCAGCCAUGCCGCGUGAGUGAAGAAGGCCUUCGGAUUGUAAAGCUCAUUCGGCCGGGAAGAAAUCGCACGGGCUAAUACCCUGUGUGGAUGACGGUACCGGAAUAAGAAGCACCGGCUAACUACGUGCCAGCCGCCGCCGUAA
rnacentral:rRNA from 1 species